CUGGCUCAGGAUGAACGCUGGCGGCGUGCUUAACACAUGCAAGUCGAACGAGGCACCUUGCAGAAGUUUCGGAUGGAAGCGGAGGCGACCGAGUGGCGGACGGGUGAGUAACGCGUGGGGAACCUGCCCCAUUCCGGGGGAUACCAGUUGGAAACGACUGUUAAUACCGCAUAAGCGCACGGAAGGACAUCCUUUUGUGUGAAAAAACUGAGGUGGAAUGGGAUGGCCCCGCGUCUGAUUAGCCAGUUGGCAGGGUAACGGCCUACCAAAGCGACGAUCAGUAGCCGGCCUGAGAGGGCGACCGGCCACAUUGGGACUGAGACACGGCCCAAACUCCUACGGGAGGCAGCAGUGGGGAAUAUUGCACAAUGGGGGAAACCCUGAUGCAAGCGACGCCGCGUGAGUGAAGAAGUAUUUCGGUAUGUAAAGCUCUAUCAGCAGGGAAGAAGAUGACGGUACCUGCACAAGAAGCCCCGGCUAACUACGUGCCAGCCGCCGC
rnacentral:rRNA from 1 species